ensembl:lncRNA
UAAUCACAAACACUGAGAUUAAAUCUGGUGCAACACACAUCAACAGUUGAAAAUGGGUGUAAUGCUUUUUCUAAUAUCCCCUCAAGGUCAGACAUUACUGAAAAGAGCAGUUGUGUUGGUGUCUCAUGACGAAGUGAAGCACUACCUCAGGAGUCAAGCACAAACCACUGCAGAGGAAUCAACAACCUCUGAGAGUCAGCAGGACGCAGCACCUGCCACAGACCUUCACGUGGGAGAGCAUAGGGAUGGUCUUGAGGAACAGGGCUGUACUAGUGGUACUCUAGAAGAGAGGGUCUCUCAAGAAGUGAAGGAAACCGACACCGCCUCCAUAUCUGCCCAACAAAGCACUGUCGAAAAAAGGAGAAGGCUUUCCAAGCCCAAACCCAGUCUGAGCCGGGCAGCACAGUCCAUCCACAGACCUCUGAAUGUACAGAAGACAGAUUUUAGUGAAAAUACCCCGUAUUUCAAACAUGACUCAGUGCAGCUGCAGUGUAGCAGUCCUGUGGAAGUCCAAGUGAAGAAUACCCCAAAUGAAUGCCUCGAAGAAGAGCACAGGGACCGUCCUGAGAAAGAGAGCACAUGUAGUGUCACUCCAGAAGAGAACGGCCCUCAGGAAGUUCAGGUCCAGGAUGAUGAAGCAGAAACCACUGUAGAUGAUCUUCCUUCCUUAACAUCAGUUGGAAGUCCUCCAGGAGCGAGUAAGAUUUUACCCAUCCUUGAGAUGCCCCAGGUUCUUGACACCACACCAUCAGAUGAAGAUGUGCCUGAAAGAAGAAGAGAAUUUGAUAGGUCUCCAUCGCAGACGUCUGAGAAUGAAGAUCUAAUUACUGAUCAGAAGGAGGAAGAUUCAGAGCCUGUUGCAUCUGAAGUCACAGACGUCAUGAUUGAGGAAUCUCAGACAGAGCUGAAGAGGAUUUUUCCAGUCAGCUGUUCUGUGGAUGGUUCCUCAGUUUAUACUCAAGAUGAUAUUGCCCCAGAGAGAGACAGUCAGUUUGCUAAGCAAACACCCAACCUAGAAGGGACAUCCCCAGUCAUGAUCAGCCCUCAGCAGACCUCAGAGCCUAAAGAAGAUCCUUCUGAAAAGCCAGAACCUCAGAGUCCUGUUCAAGCCCAGCACAGUAAUUUGGAUCAUGACUUAGAGAACAUCUCCAGAGAAGAUAAGAUUUUGUCAUCUGAGGUGGAUUUACAGGGAUGUAAACUGGAUGAGGAUCUUCUGUCUCCUGUCCCAUUACUUAGCUCAACACAAACUUUAUCCGCAAAAGUUCUUGUGGACGGCACUGAUAAAAGAAAUACAGAACCAAAUGACCAAGUUCUCAGUGAUGCUUCAUCAGCACCAUUUGAAGCACACAGUCUGGUUUCAUCUUUUUCUGAUCCUCCCAAUGAACAUGCAAGCACCCUGUGUGAUAUGGACACGUAUGAACAUAGUUUGCUGCUUUAA